AAUCCAUGGUGAGGGCAAUCACGUUCAUACUCCUUAAAACGUUCCCAGGCUUCAUAGAAAGCUUCAGUCGGUCCUUGCUGAAAGCUUGAGAUCUUUGUUCCAAGGUC
rnacentral:snoRNA from 1 species